rnacentral:rRNA from 1 species
CAAUAGCGUAUAUUAAAGUUGUUGCAGUUAAAAAGCUCGUAGUUGGAUUUGUGGCUAGAGCCUUGGCGUCCAUUAAUUUGGUUCUGCUGUGGCCUUGCCAUCCUUGGGUGGAUCCUGUGUGGCAUUAGGUUGUCGUGCAGGGGAUGCCCAUCGUUUACUGUGAAAAAUUAGAGUGUUUAAAGCAGGCAUUUUGCUGUGAAUACAUUAGCAUGGAAUAAUAACAUAGGACUUUGGUUCUAUUUUGUUGGUUGGAGGCCAAGGUAAUGAUUAAUAGGGAUAGUUGGGGGUAUUCAUAUUUAAUUGUCAGAGGUGAAAUUCUUGGAUUUAUGAAAGAUGAACUCAUGCGAAAGCAUUUACCAAGGAUGUUUUCAUUAAUCAAGAACGAAAGUUAGGGGAUCGAAGACGAUCAGAUACCGU